UGCAGUCGAACGAUGAAAGCGGGAGCUUGCUCCUGCUGGAUUAGUGGCGAACGGGUGAGUAACACGUGAGUAACCUGCCCUUGACUCUGGGAUAAGCGUUGGAAACGACGUCUAAUACCGGAUACGACCUUCGGAGGCAUCUCCUGGGGGUGGAAAGAAUUUCGGUCAAGGAUGGACUCGCGGCCUAUCAGCUAGUUGGUGAGGUAAUAGCUCACCAAGGCGACGACGGGUAGCCGGCCUGAGAGGGUGACCGGCCACACUGGGACUGAGACACGGCCCAGACUCCUACGGGAGGCAGCAGUGGGGAAUAUUGCACAAUGGGCGAAAGCCUGAUGCAGCAACGCCGCGUGAGGGACGACGGCCUUCGGGUUGUAAACCUCUUUUAGUAGGGAAGAAGCGAAAGUGACGGUACCUGCAGAAAAAGCACCGGCUAACUACGUGCCAGCAGCCGCGGUAAUACGUAGGGUGCAAGCGUUAUCCGGAAUUAUUGGGCGUAAAGAGCUCGUAGGCGGUUUGUCACGUCUGCUGUGAAAACUGGAGGCUCAACCUCCAGCCUGCAGUGGGUACGGGCAGACUAGAGUGCGGUAGGGGAGAUUGGAAUUCCUGGUGUAGCGGUGGAAUGCGCAGAUAUCAGGAGGAACACCGAUGGCGAAGGCAGAUCUCUGGGCCGUAACUGACGCUGAGGAGCGAAAGCAUGGGGAGCGAACAGGAUUAGAUACCCUGGUAGUCCAUGCCGUAAACGUUGGGAACUAGAUGUAGGGGCCAUUCCACGGCUUCUGUGUCGCAGCUAACGCAUUAAGUUCCCCGCCUGGGGAGUACGGCCGCAAGGCUAAAACUCAAAGGAAUUGACGGGGGCCCGCACAAGCGGCGGAGCAUGCGGAUUAAUUCGAUGCAACGCGAAGAACCUUACCAAGGCUUGACAUAUACCGGAAAAGUUCAGAAAUGUUCUCCCCGCAAGGUCGGUAUACAGGUGGUGCAUGGUUGUCGUCAGCUCGUGUCGUGAGAUGUUGGGUUAAGUCCCGCAACGAGCGCAACCCUCGUUCUAUGUUGCCAGCACGUAAUGGUGGGAACUCAUAGGA
rnacentral:rRNA from 2 species